UGAGGAAUAUUGGACAAUGGGCGCAAGCCUGAUCCAGCCAUGCCGCGUGCAGGAAGACGCAUCUAUGGUGUGUAAACUGCUUUUGUACGGGAAGAAACACUCCCUCGUGAGGGAGCUUGACGGUACCGUAAGAAUAAGGAUCGGCUAACUCCGUGCCAGCAGCCGCGGUAAUACGGAGGAUCCAAGCGUUAUCCGGAAUCAUUGGGUUUAAAGGGUCCGUAGGCGGUUUAAUAAGUCAGUGGUGAAAGCCCAUCGCUCAACGAUGGAACGGCCAUUGAUACUGUUAGACUUGAAUUACAAGGAAGUAACUAGAAUAUGUAGUGUAGCGGUGAAAUGCUUAGAUAUUACAUGGAAUACCAAUUGCGAAGGCAGGUUACUACUUGUGGAUUGACGCUGAUGGACGAAAGCGUGGGGAGCGAACAGGAUUAGAUACCCUGGUAGUCCACGCCGUAAACGAUGGAUACUAGCUGUUGGGAGCAAUUUCAGUGGCUAAGCGAAAGUGAUAAGUAUCCCACCUGGGGAGUACGUUCGCAAGAAUG
rnacentral:rRNA from 1 species